GGAUGUGGCUCAAGUGGUAGCACACUUGUCUGGCAUGCACGGGGUGCUGGGUUCGAUCCUCAGCACCA
rnacentral:tRNA from 1 species